UAUGCUGAGUUUUACAGGAUUACUCAAACAAACCUCAAAGAUAUCUUCUCUUUUUCGGAUGAAUACGCUAUCAAGUUUUAUGGAUCAUGUGGUGGGCGAUAUGGAGAGAUAAUAAGAACCGCCCUGAACCAACUGGACAAUCAAGACACAGAGCCAGAAGAUAUUUGCACAAUAGAGAUGGAGAUGGACAUCCUUAGCACUGUUGAAGAUGAUGUUGCCACUCUUCAGACCAACCUAAAUGUAAGGUGCCUGUCUGUGGUUCUGGAAGAGCAAAUCGUGCUGGAAAAGAUCUUCCGACAGCUGUUGUUCUCCUCUUUGGUUUGAUUAAUUUCCUCAUUAUGAACUACCCCAAAGAACUGAAACACAUCUUUGAAACUAUUCAGAAAGUGUUUAUUGGCCUUGAAUGCAUUUGUUUGUACACUGAAAUUGUGUUACUCUUGGUGUUGUCACCAAACUUAAAUUCAGUUUUGAUUUUACAUUUUCAAAUUUUAAAAACAUCCAUUUCCCACCAAUUGAUAGAUUGGGUGUUGUGUUCAAGCGCUCAACAUAAAUGACUGUGAUUGGCUGAGAAGUUCACCAUUUCACUGCUCUUCACUGAUGUUCAUGGAGUGCAAACACAGAUACACACACACACACACACACACACACACACACACACACACACACACACACACACACACACACACACACACACACACACACACACACACACACACACACACACACAGCGUACCACUUGUGUCAGCUUAUACACAGACCAGUUGAUCAAUGUGAAAUUCUUAAGUGUCCCUGUAUCUGUGGUUACACUCAGUAAACAGCAGUGAGUUUGGUGAACUGAUGAUCUUCACGCCCAAUCAGUCUUUUCUGUUGAGCAUGUGAACACAAUGGCAAUAUAACAGUGUUUAAAACAUGGUCAACAACGCUCAAAUGUUAGCAGGAAAUGGACGUUUUUAAAAUUAUAGAACUGAUGGGUAACAAAAUUAAAAUAUCGUGACAAAACUAAUUACUCUUGCACUUUGAAAAAAAUGUUGAUAGUGCAAGCAUUUUAAAUAUUACUUUUGCUUAACUCGAGCACUUAAAAGGCAAUAUAGGAUUUGAGGAUUUACCUUUUUGUUGCCUCUUUUCCUUCUCUGGACUGCAGUACAUUUCAUUUGGACAGAAAACUGUUUGCAGAAUUGUCAAUAAAUAUAUUCUUUGA